rnacentral:rRNA from 1 species
GACGAACGCUGGCGGCGUGCCUAAUACAUGCAAGUUGAGCGCUGAAGGUUGGUACUUGUACCAACUGGAUGAGCAGCGAACGGGUGAGUAACGCGUGGGGAAUCUGCCUUUGAGCGGGGGACAACAUUUGGAAACGAAUGCUAAUACCGCAUAAAAACUUUAAACACAAGUUUUAAGUUUGAAAGAUGCAAUUGCAUCACUCAAAGAUGAUCCCGCGUUGUAUUAGCUAGUUGGUGAGGUAAAGGCUCACCAAGGCGAUGAUACAUAGCCGACCUGGGAGGGUGAUCGGCCACAUUGGGACUGAGACACGGCCCAAACUCCUACGGGAGGCAGCAGUAGGGAAUCUUCGGCAAUGGACGAAAGGCUUACCGAGCAACGCCGCGUGAGUGAAGAAGGUUUUCGGAUCGUAAAACUCUGUUGGUAGAGAAGAACGUUGGUGAGAGUGGAAAGCGCAUCAAGUGACGGUAACUACCCAGAAAGGGACGGCUAACUACGUG